rnacentral:rRNA from 1 species
UACAGAGGGUGCGAGCGUUAAUCGGAAUUACUGGGCGUAAAGCGUGCGUAGGUGGACAAGUGUGUCGGCUGUGAAAUACCCGAGCUUAACUUGGGAUGGUCAGUCGAAACUGCUUGUCUAGAGUACAAUAGAGGAAAGUAGAAUUUCCGGUGUAGCGGUGAAAUGCGUAGAUAUCGGAAGGAAUACCAGUGGCGAAGGCGACUUUCUGGAUUGAUACUGACACUGAGGCACGAAAGCGUGGGGAGCAAACAGG